UACGUAGGGGGCAAGCGUUGUCCGGAUUUAUUGGGCGUAAAGAGCGUGUAGGCGGCUGGGUAGGUCCGUUGUGAAAACUCGAGGCUCAACCUCGAGACGCCGAUGGAAACCCUCCAGCUAGAGUCCGGAAGAGGAGAGUGGAAUUCCUGGUGUAGCGGUGAAAUGCGCAGAUAUCAGGAAGAACACCCGUGGCGAAGGCGGUUCUCUGGGCCUUACCUGACGCUGAGGAGCGAAAGCGUGGGGAGCGAACAGG
rnacentral:rRNA from 1 species